rnacentral:rRNA from 1 species
UACGGAGGGGACUAGCGUUGUUCGGAAUUACUGGGCGUAAAGCGCACGUAGGCGGCUUGUUUAGUCAGGGGUGAAAUCCCGAGGCUCAACCUCGGAACUGCCUUUGAUACUGGCAAUCUCGAGUCCGGAAGAGGUGAGUGGAAUUCCUAGUGUAGAGGUGAAAUUCGUAGAUAUUAGGAAGAACACCAGUGGCGAAGGCGGCUCACUGGUCCGGUACUGACGCUGAGGUGCGAAAGCGUGGGGAGCAAACAGG